GAGGAACUGAGUCCUUCUCUCUAAAUGCAAGGUCCCCAGCCACCCUGGGCCUCCUUUGGAUGAGGAGGCUACAGGGGGUGGGAUGGGGAUUACCGAUCAAAGGACGACAAAUGAAUGAUUUGAUAGCCAAAUGCCUCCGGAGAAAGCAUACAAUGGCAGAGAGUAGUUCCAUGCUGGGCUGAGCAAUCAAAACCGGGUUAUGUUAAUGCUCCUUCUAAGUAGGAGGAAUGGGCCAAGUUAGAAUUUAGGAUUGGAAGGACCGGCUCUGUCGGGGAAGACACAGAAACUACGGAGGGCCGGGGUGCCCGGGGCCCAGGUCCUCAUCUCCGGGUCCUGGGAUGAAGCUCGGCGGGGGUCUGCUUCUCCCUUCCCCCUGUCCGUCCCCCCUUUGUGCGCACACGCAGCUCGCUCGCUCUCUUUCAAAUAAAUAAAAUCUUUUUUUUUUUUUUUUUUUAAGAUUUUAAACAUUUAUUUAUUCAUGACAGACACAGAGAGAGAGAGAAACAGAGAGAAGCAGGCUCCAUGCAGGGAGCCCGACGUGGGACUCGACCCCCGGUCUCCAGGAUCACGCCCUGGGCUGAAGGUGGCGCUAAACCGCUGAGCCACCCGGGCUGCCCUCGAUAAGAUCUUAAAAAAAAAAAAAAAAAGGGAAAAAAAGAAAAAGAAAAGAUGGAGAGCAAUAGCAGAAAGGGCCCUCCAGUACAGCGGCAGUGGGAGAGAAGAAACGUGACUGUGUGACGGAGCAUUUCGGCAGAAUUCGCGGUGAUGUGACAAAGGUGACUGACAGGAAGGGCCACUGGGCCACCAGCCAAUGAGGGGCUGUUCUGACAGCGACUCCAGGCGACCACCCGUGCAGGCGACAUGGGAGUGGGCCGGGCGCCCCGAAGGCCGCGGGUGUUGGCUACCUGAGCCAGCCCUGCUCCUGGCCGGGAAUGCCGGGCCUGGCCCCGUGGGACGUCUUUCUCUUCAUCUGCACCUCCUCUGGGCUCCGCUUCCUAAGGCUGGACCCCUGAGCCCAUGUCCACCCAAUGCCAUCACUGAAACCCCUACACUCCCCGGAGCGUGGUUAGAGGAGGCGGCUCCGGCAUUAUGCUCACUGAAACAGGCUUCCCCAAGACCAGAAAAGGGGUGA
rnacentral:lncRNA from 1 species